rnacentral:rRNA from 1 species
GAUGAACGCUGGCGGCGUGCUUAACACAUGCAAGUCGAACGAAGCACUUUACUUGAAUUUUUCGGAAAGGAAAGUUUAGUGACUGAGUGGCGGACGGGUGAGUAACGCGUGGGUAACCUGCCUCAUACAGGGGGAUAACAGUUGGAAACGACUGCUAAUACCGCAUAAGCCCACGGCCUCGCAUGAGGCUGUGAGAAAAACUCCGGUGGUAUGAGAUGGACCCGCGUCUGAUUAGCUAGUUGGUGGGGUAACGGCCCACCAAGGCGACGAUCAGUAGCCGACCUGAGAGGGUGACCGGCCACAUUGGGACUGAGACA